AAUAUACCUAGUAGUGGGGGAUAACAGUUGGAAACGACUGCUAAUACCGCAUACGCCCUUCGGGGGAAAGAUUUAUCGCUAUUAGAUUAUCCCGCGUUAGAUUAGCUAGUUGGUAAGGUAAGAGCUUACCAAGGCGACGAUCUAUAUCUGGUUUGAGAGGAUGAUCAGCCACACUGGGACUGAGACACGGCCCAGACUCCUACGGGAGGCAGCUGUGGGGAAUAUUGCGCAUUGGAGGAAACUCUGACGCAGCCAUGCCGCGUGUGUGAAGAAGGCCUUAGGGUUGUAAAGCACUUUCAGACGUGAUGAUGAUGACAGUAGCGUCAAAAGAAGUUCCGGCUAGCUUCGUGCCAGCAGCCGCGGUAAUACGAAUGGAACUAGCGUUGUUCGGAUUUACUGGGCGUUAUAGAGCAUGUAGGCGGAUUGGAUAUUUG
rnacentral:rRNA from 1 species